CUGAAGGGUCAAUAUCUGAGGGUGCUUACAGAUACCAAAGGGUGCGAUCGGCCGAAGUGGAGCUCUUGGGAACGAGUCUGAAAGGGAAAUACUUAGGUAAGAUCUGAUAUUUCCUCCUGCCUAACACUCUUUAUGGUUGUACAGGUGAGGACACAAGUCAUGUCAUGGGUAUCAAAAUAUUAAGCUUGUACAGUCCCGGACACAAGUUAUGUCAUGGAUGCCAAACUGUCUCAGGUUGUACAGUCUCGGACACAAGUUAUGUCACGGACGCCAAGACAUUGUGGGUGAGUGUCAAGUAACCUAAAAAACUUAACUGGCUUUUCUUUUGUAUUUUUUCCUUUAAUGGCAGGACCAGUACGUGGCUCUCUUCUCUGAUUUUAUUUAUGUCCUUGAGUUUUCAUCUCAUGUGCAUAAAAAAAAUAAAUAAAAUAAAAAAAAAUAAAUAUGUGUCAAGGCUGCUCGAACACUUGAGAGUUGUACACUUGCAGACACGAGUUGUAUCCACAUUUCAAAAUCAUUAGUUGAACAGUAGUACCUUCAAAUAAAUACCUUCAAAUUCUUAUCCUCUUAUUCUACAUUACAAGCUGCCAGUCUUGUACACGAAGCUUUUUAGCACUUUAAGAUUCAUAGCAUUUUAAAAUCCAAACAAGAAGCUCUGACUACUCUAUAGAAGCCUUCCACUCUUAUAUGCAAAGGAUCCAGUCCCUU